AUGACGGGGCUUCUCAUGGUAGUUGACGCGGCAAUAGGAUGGCUGGUGCAAACCAUCCUUGGGAGCUUCUUCACUGAACAGAUUGAAGCCUGGGCUUGUGAAAUUGGGCUUGCUGAAGAUGUGGAGAAGCUCAAAUUUGAGAUGAGAAACGUGGAGAUGGUUCUUGCUGCUGCCGAGGGAAGGAGGAUUGAAAACAAGCCUCUGGCACGUUCACUGGAUGAUCUCAAAGAGCUGCUUUAUGACUCGGAGGACGUGAUGGACGAGCUCGAUUACCACCGACUCCAGCAGCAGAUCGAAGAAGGGAAAGGUUGUAGUGCUCCUAGUGGUGUUAAUCCUGAGGGAAGCUACGUGUCCUCAUCAGCUCCAUCUUCUGCUUAUGAAUUAGUAUGCAGUGCCACAAGCCAAAUGACUAGUUGGGCCUCAUGCAGCAGAAAAAGGAAGCGUGAAGAGGAGGGGCCAGCUCAAAGUACUAUGCUGACUUCUGAGAUUAAACAUGACAUUUCUCAGAGGAUCAACAGAAUAGUGAAAGGUUUAUGCACUAUUGGCAGUUCCGUGCAGAGAGUUCUUCAGCUUGAGGUCUCGCGCCCCACUGCAACAUCACUUGAGAGUCAGAAUAUUUCCAAUAAUGCUCGGCUGACAACUUCUGUUCCAGUUGAAGUUAAGAUGUAUGGGAGGGAGUCAGAGCGAGACAAGAUAAUAGAGCUGUUGACAGAGGGGGGUUCUAGUGAUCUGAAUGUUUUGCCGGUGGUUGGCAUUGGUGGUGUUGGGAAGACAACUCUUGCUAGAUUUGUAUGCAAGGACCAAAGAAUUAGAGAUCAUUUUGAUCUGCAAAUGUGGGUUUGUGUAUCCACUGACUUCAAUGAAGUGAGGAUAACACGUGAGAUCCUAGAGCAUGUAUGUGAAAAUAGACAAGAAUAUGAAAAUAUAAGCAAUUUCAAUGUACUGCAGAAGAACCUUUUGAAGAAUAUCAAAAACAAAAGAUUUCUGCUCGUAUUGGAUGACAUGUGGGAAGACAAGGACAGGAAUGGAUGGAUUAAACUCUUGGCUCCAUUGAAAGGUAAUCAAGCAAGUGGUUGCAUGAUACUAGCAACAAUUAGAAUGAAUUCAGUUGCAAAAAUGAUACAAACGAUGGAUGAAGUCAGAUUGAGUGGCCUGAAUGAAAAGGAGUUUUGGCUGUUAUUCAAGGCAUGUGCAUUUGGUAACAAGAACUACGAGGGUGAUCCUGGUUUGCAGUCUAUUGGGAAACAGAUUGUGAAAGCACUAAAGGGCUGCCCACUAGCCGCACAAAGAGUUGGUGCACUUUUGAACACAAGUGUUAGUGAUAAGCAUUGGAGGGCAGUUCGGGACAAAUGGAGAUCUCUUCAACAAGAUGCUAAUGAUAUUUUACCCGUCUUGAAGCUUAGUUAUGAUUAUCUUCCAGUCUACCUUCAACGCUGUUUCUCGUACUGCUCUUUAUUUCUAGAGGAUAAACGUCUUCAUGGGAAAGAAUUGGUUCCUGCUUGGGUAUCACAGAAUUUUGUGCAGUGUGAAGACCCUACGAUGAAAUUGGAGGAAACAGGGCAGCGAUAUUUGGAUAGAUUAGUUGAUUUGUGCUUCUUCCAAAAGGUUGGCUCACGUUAUGUUAUGCAUGAUCUAAUGCAUGAAUUGGCAGGGAAAGUUUCCUCAAAUGAGUGUGCAACUGUACAUGGAUUGAAACAUGAGGAAAUUCGACCAAGUGUUCGCCAUUUGUCAAUCAUAACUACUGCUUUUGAUAAAGAUAAAGCUGGCAGUUUUCCUAUUGAGAAGUUUGAUGAAAUACUUCAGAAGAUUGGACCUUUGCAAAAAUUGAGGACUUUGAUGUUGUUUGGGCAAAGCAGCAUACAUUUAUUAGGGUCCUUGCGUACUUUAUGCAAGAAGGCAAAAUGUUUGCGGUUCCUAAGAAUUUAUGUGACAGAUGCUGACAUCAGCUCUAUACAUAGUUCUUUAAAUCCAUACCAUCUUCACUAUCUUAAAUGUAUUCAUGAUGUCAUUAUAAACAGAUCAUUGUAUAGAGGCUACAACAACGCUGUGUUUCCUCAAGCAUCGACAAGAUUUUAUCACCUUCUAGUAUUGAAUAUUGGUAUUUCAGGCAAUUUUUCUGUGCCUACUGAUAUGCAUAAUCUUAUUAAUUUGCGCCAUCUUCUUUCUCAUUGGAAAGUGCAUCAAGCAAUAGCUUGUGUUGGAAACAUGACCUCUCUUCAGGAACUAAGUUUCAAGGUUCGAAAUGGUGGUAGUUUUGAGAUAAGAGAACUUCAGUCCCUGAAUGAACUUGUACUACUUGAAAUUUCUCAACUUGAAAAUGUGAAGACUAAAGAAGAGGCUAGUGGAGCCAGGCUAUUAGACAAAGAGUAUCUAGAAACAUUAUCCUUGUCAUGGCAGAUAACAGCACGAGCCUUCAAACAGAGGCAGCAAAGGAUGUGCUGGAAGGUCUUCAACCACAUCAGGACCUCAAAACUCUAA
rnacentral:rRNA from 1 species